rnacentral:rRNA from 1 species
UACGUAGGGUGCAAGCGUUAAUCGGAAUUACUGGGCGUAAAGCGUGCGCAGGCGGUUAUGCAAGACAGAUGUGGAAUCCCCGGGCUCAACCUGGGAACUGCAUUUGUGACUGCAUAGCUAGAGUACGGUAGAGGGGGAUGGAAUUCCGCGUGUAGCAGUGAAAUGCGUAGAUAUGCGGAGGAACACCGAUGGCGAAGGCAAUCCCCUGGACCUGUACUGACGCUCAUGCACGAAAGCGUGGGGAGCAAACAGG